rnacentral:piRNA from 1 species
UGGAUGCUUCCUGCCCCUGAACGUCAGACUCC